CGGGGUGCACCAGGCGCGAAAACUUUGCAAUACACGAAAGUGUGACAGGGCUAUCCCGAGUGCCAUCCGCUGAGGAAGGCUUUUACCCAGUCUAGAACGCUGGGGGAAUAAGGAGAGGGCAAGUCUGGUGUCAGCCGCCGCGGUAAUACCAGCUCUCCGAGUGGUGUGGAUGUUUAUUGGGCCUAAAGCAUCCGUAGCUGGCUAAGUUAGUCCCUUGUUAAAUCCACCGAAUUAAUCGUUGGAUUGCGGGGGAUACUGCUUGGCUAGGGGACGAGAGAGGCAGACGGUAUUUCCGGGGUAGGGGUGAAAUCCUAUAAUCCCGGGAAGACCACCAGUGGCGAAGGCUGUCUGCUAGAACGCGCCCGACGGUGAGGGAUGAAAGCUGGGGGAGCGAACCGGAUUAGAUACCCGGGUAGUCCCAGCUGUAAACGAUGCAGGCUAGGUGUUUGGACGGCCACGUGCCGUUCUAGUGCCGCAGGGAAGCUGUUAAGCCUGCCGCCUGGGGAGUACGAUCGCAAGAUUGAAACUUAAAGGAAUUGGCGGGGGAGCACAAGGGCGAAUCGCG
rnacentral:rRNA from 1 species